rnacentral:rRNA from 1 species
CCUACGGGGGGCAGCAGUGGGGAAUAUUGCACAAUGGGCGCAAGCCUGAUGCAGCCAUGCCGCGUGUGUGAAGAAGGCCUUCGGGUUGUAAAGCACUUUCAGCGGGGAGGAAGGCGGUGAGGUUAAUAACCUCAUCGAUUGACGUUACCCGCAGAAGAAGCACCGGCUAACUCCGUGCCAGCAGCCGCGGUAAUACGGAGGGUGCAAGCGUUAAUCGGAAUUACUGGGCGUAAAGCGCACGCAGGCGGUCUGUCAAGUCGGAUGUGAAAUCCCCGGGCUCAACCUGGGAACUGCAUUCGAAACUGGCAGGCUAGAGUCUUGUAGAGGGGGGUAGAAGUCCAGGUGUAGCGGUGAAAUGCGUAGAGAUCUGGAGGAAUACCGGUGGCGAAGGCGGCCCCCUGGACAAAGACUGACGCUCAGGUGCGAAAGCGUGGGGAGCAAACAGGAUUAGAUACCCUAGUAGUC